CCUUGUUUCUCAAUGUUUUGGCCAAAAAUUUAUUAUUCAUCACAACAGUUGCAAGUCAACCCACAAGCUUUCCUUAAUACGAUACAAAGAGCAGAAAAGACCCCACAUUGUUCUGAUUAGGAAACUAGGAACAAGUAAAUCAUUGAAACCGUAGACAGCAUUGCUCCUCUUAGCCCAUCCUCUCUAUACCUCAAGGCUCAAAAGUCAUGUUCUCUGCUUCAUGCUUCACAGAUU
rnacentral:misc_RNA from 1 species